GCUAAUAAAAGCGUAUUAAAAACAUUGUUUGCCAUACUCUUUCAGUGACGAUAUUGAACCUUAUUUAAGUCUCAAUAAUGACGUAACCAAAUGUCAAAAAAUAACAAAAAUAAAUUUGUCGUUUCAACAACAGAUUAAUAGAUUAGUUUCCGCAUUCGUCAAAUAUCGGAAGACAAGAAUCUUUUCUUGCUCGAUCCUUCCACUUAAAUUUCAGUGUUAAAUCAUAAUGGCAGUGUACUACGGAGGAUAUGUCGGAGGCGCCCAAGGCGGCGGUUACUGCUUGUAUUCAUUCCAACCUUGCAACCCAACAAUGGGAGGAUGUGGCGCUUUUUCCUCUUGUCCACCAUAUUGAUUCCUGUAAUCAAAAGAGACGAGAGUGCUUUUGAAGUAAAGCCUCAACAUUCGUGAAAAGAUAACAAUGAAAAUAGCUUGUUUUAAUUGUAUCGUUUUUUUAUUAUUAUUUAGUUUUCAUUGAACUUUGUUGUUGGAUGCGGUUUAAAUAAAGCUUAAAAAAUUAAUUA